rnacentral:rRNA from 1 species
UACGGGGGGGGCAAGCGUUGUUCGGAAUUACUGGGCGUAAAGGGCUCGUAGGCGGCCAACUAAGUCAGACGUGAAAUCCCUCGGCUUAACCGGGGAACUGCGUCUGAUACUGGAUGGCUUGAGGUUGGGAGAGGGAUGCGGAAUUCCAGGUGUAGCGGUGAAAUGCGUAGAUAUCUGGAGGAACACCGGUGCGAAGGCGGCAUCCUGGACCAAUUCUGACGCUGAGUGAGCGAAGCCAGGGAGCAAACGG